rnacentral:rRNA from 1 species
GACGAACGCUGGCGGCGUGCUUAACACAUGCAAGUCGAACGGAAAGGCCCUGCUUUUGUGGGGUGCUCGAGUGGCGAACGGGUGAGUAACACGUGAGUAACCUGCCCUUGACUUUGGGAUAACUUCAGGAAACUGGGGCUAAUACCGGAUAGGAGCUCCUGCUGCAUGGUGGGGGUUGGAAAGUUUCGGCGGUUGGGGAUGGACUCGCGGCUUAUCAGCUUGUUGGUGGGGUAGUGGCUUACCAAGGCUUUGACGGGUAGCCGGCCUGAGAGGGUGACCGGCCACAUUGGGACUGAGAUACGGCCCAGACUCCUACGGGAGGCAGCAGUGGGGCAUAUUGCACAAUGGGCGGCAGCCUGAUGCCGCCACGCCGCGUGCGGGAUGACGGCCUUCGGGUUGUAAACCGCUUUCGCCUGUGACGAAGCGUGAGUGACGGUAAUGGGUAAAGAAGCACCGGCUAACUACGUG